GACGAACGCUGGCGGCGUGCUUAACACAUGCAAGUCGAACGGUGAAGCUCCAGCUUGCUGGAGUGGAUCAGUGGCGAACGGGUGAGUAACACGUGAGCAACCUGCCCCUGACUCUGGAAUAAGCGCUGGAAACGGCGUCUAAUACUGGAUACGAGAAGGGUCCGCAUGGGCACUUUCUGGAAAGUUUUUCGGUUGGGGAUGGGCUCGCGGCCUAUCAGCUUGUUGGUGAGGUAAUGGCUCACCAAGGCGACGACGGGUAGCCGGCCUGAGAGGGCGACCGGCCACACUGGGACUGAGACACGGCCCAGACUCCUACGGGAGGCAGCAGUGGGGAAUAUCGCACAAUGGGCGAAAGCCUGAUGCAGCGACGCCGCGUGAGGGAUGACGGCCUUCGGGUUGUAAACCUCUUUCAGCAGGGAAGAAGCGAAAGUGACGGUACCUGCAGAAGAAGCACCGGCUAACUACGUG
rnacentral:rRNA from 1 species